CAAGGCGUAGCUAUAAGCUCCAAAGCAUUCAGCUUACACCUGAAAGAUGCCCCCAAUAAGGGUCGCCUUGA
ensembl:Mt_tRNA